AUGUCUUCUUCAAGCUCCCGCGCCACCUCGCGGAUCCAAAGCCCGACGCACGUGGAGAUGCCGAUCUUCGUUUGUCCGCUGUGUCGGGCGGGCGUUGAUCGAAGGGUUUCUCACACACCAAAGAACCAUAAUCGUUCAUUCUACAUGUGCAGCGAGAAUGGGGUGAAAUGUUUCUUCCUUUGGGUCGAUGCUCUGGCCAAGACUCUGAUGAAUGAACUGCAAGAAGAGCAUGACGAAUGUUUACCCAUCCUGGCACGAACGACAGUGGCCGCAACACAAGCUCUAGAAGAAGAGACAGAGGGCGAAGCACACAAUGACAGAGAGCUACCGGAGCUUAGGAUGUUGAACAAGAAGGUUGGGAAGCUCGAAGAUCAAGCACAAAUACCCAUUUGUAAUUACUUUUUGGCAUUUGUAGGUAGGGUAAUCGCACUGGGUGUAAUGUUUAAAUUGUAUGGAAAGGCAUGA
rnacentral:rRNA from 1 species